UGGGGAAUUUUGGACAAUGGCGCAAGCCUGAUCCAGCCAUGCCGCGUGCGGGAAGAAGGCCUUCGGGUUGUAAACCGCUUUUGUCAGGGAAGAAAUCUUCUGAGUUAAUACCUCGGGAGGAUGACGGUACCUGAAGAAUAAGCACCGGCUAACUACGUGCCAGCAGCCGCGGUAAAUACGUAGGGUGCAAGCGUUAAUCGGAAUUACUGGGCGUAAAGCGUGCGCAGGCGGUUUUGUAAGACAGAGGUGAAAUCCCCGGGCUCAACCUGGGAACUGCCUUUGUGACUGCAAGGCUUGAGUGCGGCAGAGGGGGAUGGAAUUCCGCGUGUAGCAGUGAAAUGCGUAGAUAUGCGGAGGAACACCGAUGG
rnacentral:rRNA from 1 species